CUGCAUGAACUCACAUUGAGUGUCAAGCUUCCCAUGCCGGAGCGGAUGUAAUGGAUUAUUUUCCAGUGGUUCAGCAAAAUGAACGGGACUAGAACACUCCGAUGAGCAACAGCACUGAUACAAAGGAGCAUAGGCAGAGCAAGAGGAGAGAAGCGGAAAGAACUGGCAGCAGGAAAGAGAAUGAAUGUGAAAGACCCUGCCCUCUGACGGCAGCUCAGAUAUCCAUGUAAUCACAUCCAAAGUGUGACUACAUGAAUGUGACUACAUGAAUGUUUCUUUGUUCCUGCUUUUAAUUUGUGGCUUACACUGUUCAGUUUGAAAACCAGUUUGCUGGAACUAGGAACCUGCACUUUUAAGCUAUGCAUUCCUCAGUAUGGGUCUGGAAGAAAAUGUGUUUGCAGAUACUUUCAGUGGACAGCAGGUUUCAAGGAUGUCAAGACAUCCUUAAGUCUAAAAUAAUUGCCCUUUAGGAGGAAGAUGCUGAAUAUUUAUGGAUUCCCAAAGAGAAAAUGUUAAAGAGCUCACAGCUAACAGGAUUUUAAUUGGAUGCCUGGACCGUAUUCCUGCCUAUUUUCUAGCAAAUGACUUUAAAUGCUUGCUACAUAAUACAAAUAAAUAAAUUGAAUAAAAACACAAA